UUUCUAUCAAGGCAGUCUUUGUCCAGUUGUAUUGCAAACUGGCAGCUAGCAGUGCUCGGUCGCGUGCAGGGAGUUGCGGUGCACAGAAAGACAGGAACAGAGCGUGAGCGCACAGCAAUUAGCGACACCCGCAAUGCACAAAGGACAGCCGAGAGUAACGGCACAGGAAACCAAAAACUAGGGUCUCUAAGGAACUAUAGCAAGUGCUAGUGAAUUGUUUCCAGUACGCUGCUUUGCCUGCUGCUCGUAAUGACUCAUAUGAGUCAUGAGUCAUAUGAGUUCAUGUCAGUUCAUGUCAUUCAGUCAGUUCAUGUGCACAAUGGUAGCAAAGACAUAUUUCACAACGUAUACGCCUUUUUGCGAUGCACCUUUAGUGACAGGUAUACCUUUACAUCUUUAGACAGGUAUAGUGCGUUAUAUCAGUAUAUCACGUGUAGUUGUAAUAACGCCGCUCAUUGUGCUUUGGUAGGGGUGUUGCGUCCUCUUGCUGCCUGCUACAAUGGUCCUUUAUGAGUUGCAUUGACUAUGUACGCGCUACUAACUGGAUCGAAAAUAUCUGCCCCAUACAUGACUACUGCAACAACUUCAAGCUACAGUACGUUGUAUAAUAGCUCUAGUUCCUACGACACUGUUCUUGUGCAAUAUCGGUGUCCUUCGACGCAAUGGGGAUUUAAUAUGGCAUCAUUAACAGGGCGGAAUUUUUAAGCGGUCCAGUUAGACUGAUUCCAUCGUCAGGGCCUGCAACCGCAAAGGCCACAGCAGUGACCUAAACCAGCAUCAUGUAUCGACUAACUACCGCAAAGGCUACAAUAUCCUACACCAGGCAAGGGACGCGACCAGCACGACGAGAAUAAUUAUCGUUGCAGUCGUCUUUACGGCAGGACGACUAAGCUGCCGUAAGCGUCUCGCACACGUAAACAAUCGGCGGCUAUUUGAGCGACGUCAACAACUGCACUGCCACGGCGGACACUGCGGCUUCUACAAUCGUGCAAGGAUCCCGUUCGCUUUGACGUUCCGGAGAACAUGUGCCAUCAACACCAUCUGGCCACUAUCUCCACAAAAACAGCAGUGAACAAUGGUCUUCAUUACAAGCCCACUUCAUUCAUGCUGAAUAGGAAAUACAUUCGAAACUUGUCUUGACGGUCACAAGAAAUAACAAUAAAAAAAGAAAACUAAA